rnacentral:rRNA from 1 species
UACGUAGGGGCGAGCGUUGUCCGGAAUUAUUGGGCGUAAAGGGUUCGCAGGCGGCCUUGUAAGUCAGAUGUGAAAGACAGCGGCUUAACCGUUGUAAGCAUUUGAAACUGCAGGGCUUGAGUACAGGAGAGGAAAGCGGAAUUCCUAGUGUAGCGGUGAAAUGCGUAGAUAUUAGGAGGAACACCAGUGGCGAAGGCGGCUUUCUGGACUGAUACUGACGCUGAGGAACGAAAGCGUGGGGAGCAAACAGGAUUAGAUACCCUGGUAGUCCCU